rnacentral:rRNA from 1 species
CGGCGGACGGGUGAGUAACACGUGGGUAACCUGCCUGUAAGACUGGGAUAACUCCGGGAAACCGGAGCUAAUACCGGAUAGUUCCUUGAACCGCAUGGUUCAAGGAUGAAAGACGGUUUCGGCUGUCACUUACAGAUGGACCCGCGGCGCAUUAGCUAGUUGGUGGGGUAAUGGCUCACCAAGGCGACGAUGCGUAGCCGACCUGAGAGGGUGAUCGGCCACACUGGGACUGAGACACGGCCCAGACUCCUACGGGAGGCAGCAGUAGGGAAUCUUCCGCAAUGGACGAAAGUCUGACGGAGCAACGCCGCGUGAGUGAUGAAGGUUUUCGGAUCGUAAAGCUCUGUUGUUAGGGAAGAACAAGUGCGAGAGUAACUGCUCGCACCUUGACGGUACCUAACCAGAAAGCCACGGCUAACUACGUGCCAGCAGCCGCGGUAAUACGUAGGUGGCAAGCGUUGUCCGGAAUUAUUGGGCGUAAAGGGCUCGCAGGCGGUUUCUUAAGUCUGAUGUGAAAGCCCCCGGCUCAACCGGGGAGGGUCAUUGGAAACUGGGAAACUUGAGUGCAGAAGAGGAGAGUGGAAUUCCACGUGUAGCGGUGAAAUGCGUAGAGAUGUGGAGGAACACCAGUGGCGAAGGCGACUCUCUGGUCUGUAACUGACGCUGAGGAGCGAAAGCGUGGGGAGCGAACAGGAUUAGAUACCUGGUAGUCCACGCCGUAACGAUGAGUGCUAAGUGGUUAGGGGGUUUCCGCCCCUUAGUGCUGCA